AGGCGGCUGUCUAGUCUGUACUGACGCUGAGCUCGAAAGCAUGGGUAGCGAACAGGAUUAGAUACCUGGUAGUCCAUGCGUAAACGAUGAGUGCUAAGUGUUGGAGGGUUUCCCCCUUCAGUGCUGCAGCUAACGCAUUAAGCACUCCGCCUGGGGAGUACGACCGCAAGGUUGAAACUCAAAGGAAUUGACGGGGGCCCGCACAAGCGGUGGAGCAUGUGGUCUAAUUCGAAGCUACGCGAAGAACCUUACCAGGUCUUGACAUCUUCUGCCAAUCUUAGAGAUAAGACGUUCCCUUCGGGGACAGAAUGACAGGUGGUGCAUGGUUGUCGUCAGCUCGUGUCGUGAGAUGUUGGGUUAAGUCCCGCAACGAGCGCAACCCUUAUUAUCAGUUGCCAGCAUUCAGUUGGGCACUCUGGUGAGACUGCCGGUGACAAACCGGAGGAAGGUGGGGAUGACGUCAAAUCAUCAUGCCCCUUAUGACCUGGGCUACACACGUGCUACAAUGGACGGUACAACGAGUCGCGAAGUCGUGAGGCUAAGCUAAUCUCUUAAAGCCGUUCUCAGUUCGGAUUGUAGGCUGCAACUCGCCUACAUGAAGUUGGAAUCGCUAGUAAUCGCGGAUCAGCAUGCCGCGGUGAAUACGUUCCCGGGCCUUGUACACACCGCCCGUCACACCAUGAGAGUUUGUAACACCCAAAGCCGGUGAGAUAACCUUCGGGAGUCAGCCGUCUAAGGUGGGCCAGAUGAUUAGGGUGAAGUCGUAACAAGGUAACCA
rnacentral:rRNA from 1 species